GCCUCAUUUGGCUUGUGAGCUGCAUUUUGCUGACCACUGGGCUAUACCAUCUAGGUUUGUGUAAGUGUACUCUAAUGUUCAAACAAUGGCAAAAUCGCUUACUGAUGUAUUUUUUUGUAUGUAUCACUGUUAAGGGGCACAUGAUUGUAUGGACAAUAGAGAAGUAAAUGAACGAUGUAAUUUCAAGUAGUAUAGAUAAAAUGGACUGUGAUCAAGGAUACUUGGGAGUAGUGUGUGUUAAGGAGGUUACUUUUAAACUGAGAUUUCAAACAAGAUGGAACCGGCCAUGCAGAGCAGUUGAGGCAGCCAGAUUAGUAACUGGGGUGGAACCACCUGAUCAUGUUU